rnacentral:rRNA from 1 species
GGGCUCACACAAGCGGUGGAGCAUGUGGCUUAAUUCGAGGCUACGCGAAGAACCUUAUCCCAGGCUUGACAUGUCCGAAAGGGGCAGGAAGUAGGGUGCGGAAACGUUGCCCGAACGGUAUCCAAUCCGGAACCUGCUACAGGUGCUGCAUGGCUGUCGUCAGCUCGUGUCGUGAGAUGUCGGGUUAAGUCCCAUAACGAGCGAAACCCUUGUCUCCAGUUGCCAACACCUCGGGUGGGGACUCUGGAGAGACUGCCGGUGUUAAACCGGAGGAAGGCGGGGAUGACGUCAAGUCCUCAUGGCCUUUAUGCCUGGGGCUGCACACGUGCUACAAUGGCACAUACAGAGGGAAGCCAACCCGCGAGGGGGAGCAAAUCCCAAAAAAUGUGCCCCAGUUCAGAUCGAAGGCUGCAACUCGCCUUCGUGAAGUUGGAAUCGCUAGUAAUCGCAGGUCAGCAACACUGCGGUGAAUGUGUUCCUGAGCCUU